CACAACCUUCCUACAAGUGGGGAAGUAGCCCAGAGAAAUUUGGAUUAAUACCCGUAACAUAUAAAGAUGGCAUCAUUUUUAUAUUAUAGCUACGGCGCUUGUUGAUGGGUGUGCGGCUGAUUAGGUAGUUGGCGGGGUAAUGGCCCACCAAGCCUGCGAUCAGUAGCUGAUGUGAGAGCAUGAUCAGCCACACGGGCACUGAGACACGGGCCCG
rnacentral:rRNA from 1 species